CAGCAGCCGCGGUAAUACGGAGGGUGCAAGCGUUAAUCGGAAUUAUUGGGCGUAAAGAGCUCGUAGGUGGUCUGUCACGUCGGCUGUGAAAACCUGGGGCUCAACCCCGGGCCUGCAGCCGAUACGGGCAGACUAGAGUUCGGCAGGGGAGACUGGAAUUCCUGGUGUAGCGGUGAAAUGCGCAGAUAUCAGGAGGAACACCGGUGGCGAAGGCGGGUCUCUGGGCCGAUACUGACACUGAGGAGCGAAAGCGUGGGGAGCAAGCAGGAUUAGAUACCCGCGUAGUCCCUGUCUCUUAUAU
rnacentral:rRNA from 1 species